UUAGGAGCUUCAGUCGAUUUAGGUUUAAAGAGGAAAUAGUUACAAAACUGUUUUUACGUUCGAUACAUCGUGUUUCUUCAUUCGUUCAAAAUCGUUUUCCCUCACGACUCGUAGUUUAUGCUUAAUACUUGUCGGAAGAUAGAUCUUCGCGGAUGAAAUCGGUCGCGCUAGUGAGCAUAACACAUUGCCGGCUAGAAAAAUAAGUUGUAACGUGCUGGCGGUCGGUCUACCAGCGCGCGAAGUAUGAAAAUAUACGCGAGUCUUAUGAAACUUUGCAGUGUUCCGAAGUUUCUAUUACGUCAAUUUCGGAGUUGCACGAGAAAAACUAUUUUCAAAACUUCGUCUACCAGUAGAUGCAGGAAACUUCGUCGUCCGCCUUACGUCUGCCAUAACAGCGAGUCACGUGUCCGAUGCGUAAGGGGACGAAUUUGUCACGCGGUAUACGACUAAAAUACCGAUAAAAGUUGAUACUUUUGCAUGAUAAAGUGUGAUAUCCAUAUUCAUUGUUGAAUAUGCGAUUUGAAAGUGAAAAAAAUGCGCAGAAAUUGCGCAGUCGGAUAAAAACUAAAUUGUUAUUAAAAUUAAUGGUACUGACGCACUAAAAGUAGAUAUUAUGGAAAAUACGUUGUUAAAAAUAAUAUUAUUCCAAUGUAAAUGUAUAUUUAAAUUUCUAAUUUAUGCAAAAUUCUUAAGAGAUUAUAAGAUCAUAACGAAUUGAAAAUAUGGCAUUUUUAAACAUUAUGUAAAACUUUUGUUUAAAGCAACAGAUAUAUAAUAAUGUAUUUUCGUUUAGAACAUAUAUUUGUUAAAAAAGUAAAAUUCAAAAUUGCAUUGAAAAAAUAUUGUUAAGCUUUGAAUCCAUUUAUGCCCAAAACAUUAUUUUUCAAAACGCCACGAUAACUCAAAAUUAAUUUAUCCGCUUUAAAAUUUUAAAUCAAUGUUUAAUAAUAUUUGGUAUCGGAUCGCAAAGUUUUCGAUUUUUAAUUUUUUUCUUAAGUUAUAAUAUAAAGAGAAGACAGAAAUUUUUCGAAAAAACGCAAUUAUCAAAUUUAAUUGUGUGCAACUUCGCGAAAAAUAAAAUUUUAAAAAGUUCCCUUCUUCAUCCGAAAAUGACUAGAUUAAAGAAAGAAACUGCUUAGUUUUUUAAAUUUUAGAUAAUUUAUCGAGGCUGAAUCGUGGCAUGCAGGCAAUGCGCAUUUAUUUAAAGCAUUAUUAUUAUUCAUUUAUUUUUAUUCAUAUUCUGUUUUUGCAUCAUACAUUUUAAAUAAAAAUACACAUUUUCUAAGCAGAAACACAUUAUUUAUCUAUAUCUUUAAAUAAAUGUUUCACACGGUUGCAAAAUAUUCUUUUAUGUAAGAAUAAAUGUAAAAGCAGCAAAUACGAGUCGCAGUUGACUCUUUUUACCAACAUUCUCACUGAUUUAGCAAUUAACAGCCUUCACAAUAGGUGGGAACAUAUUUCAAAUAAUUGUAAGAUUCCGAGAGAUGAGUUUCUAAAUGCAGUCCGCUUCGUUUUUGAAUCUAUCUACUUUCAAUUCAACAAUACUAUAUAUAAACAAAAUUUCCGCUCCUCCAUCUCCGUUGUCCCCUGUCAUCGCUGAUUUAGUUUUGCACGAUCUUGAGACAGUGGUACUCAGAACUUUCGAUUUUCACCUUUUUAUUUCCUUUUAGUUCCUUUUUAUUUCCGUUACGUGAAUGAUAUCGCUUUAGCGAUACUUUCACAUAAAGUAGAUUUCAUUUUGGAAUCUUUCAACGCGUUUCAUCUUCGACUUCAAUUUAUUAUGGAAAUUGGAAACAAAACUCUGAACUUUCUAAAUACCAUCAUAGUUCUUAAUAUCGGUUCAAUUGAGUUUGAUUGGUAUCAUAAACCGACGUUUUCAGGUCGUUAUUUGAACUUUAACUCUUGGCACCUUGUCUCACAGAAGCGUGGUGUCGUUAUGGACCUUGUUGAUCGCGCCUUUGUUUUGUCACAUCCAAAAUUUCACGAGAAGAACUUGGUAGCUCAUAGUUAAUAUUCUUUUAGACAACGACUAUCCCUUGGAUUUCAUCUUUAACACUAUUCGGAGUCGACUUAGAUGUCUUUGUGCUAAGAAAUCCAAAAAACAUGCCAACAACACUCUAGACGUAGAUGAAAAAAUUAUUUGGUUUACUACUUUCCUUUAAUUUCUGACAGAUUUAAUAAUAUCUUUAGAAACUCGAAUAUUAAAACUGCCUUUUACAGUACAAAUAAAAUCCGCAAAUUUAUUAAAGUUUAAAAUAAUUUUCUUCCAAUUUCUUCUCGUAAAAAUGUAGUUUAUAAAAUCGCUUGCCGCGAUUGCGAUGCGUCUUACGUCGGGCAGACCGGUAGACAAUUAAAAACACGUAUUUCCGAACAUCGAAAUCAUAUUCGUAGAGCCUCUACAACCUCUAUCAACUCUAUUAUUACCAAUCAUAGAAUUCAAUCGGGUCAUGAGUUUGACCGGGACGGCGUUCAGAUAUUUGAUUAUGAGAGGUUUUUUUACAAGCGACUCAUCUCAAAGAUAUUACACAUUAAUCAACAAAUAAAUGGUCUUAACUUACAGUCUGACACUGAAUGUCUACAUCACGGUUACUUCUCGAUUGUCAAUAAUCUAUAAUGUCUUCUAUCUUUAUCUCACUUACUGUUUGUUUCGUGCUUAUUUAUAUUAUACUAUAUUUGAGCCGACUCGUAGCAUCGGUUUACUAGCUUAGUGUCUCUCUGAUUACCGUACUGUGCGGUUCUUAUUAUAACUGAGUCCGUAACGUUUUAUUUUAAAUUUCUGUAUUUUGGCAGUACUUAUUUGUACUUGCGAUGUCUUAUUGUAAUAAGUUUAAUUUGGAGCGCUUUUCGAUUGCUGCGACUUCUGUUUCUGUUGAGCACCAACUGUUUAAAAUUUUGACUACGUCUGUUUUUGAGUUUGAGUUGUACACAUUUUCAAGCCAAACAACUCGUAAUGCAUGUCACUUCUCGACGAGGAAGCCCUCAACUUCACCACAGACGGAAUGUAUUUUUUUUUUUUUUAUAGUAUUUGCGCUGAGGAUGAUUCAAAAUUAGAGCCGAAAUGAUAUUUAUAAUUAAAUUCUUAUGAAAUAUAUGUGAUUGUCAUUAUCUUUAUUUGCGCACCGUUUACCGUGCCUGAUUCGUAUUUGCCGCUUUUACAUUUAUUCUUACAUUUUUACAAGUCUCUCUUCCUUACAUUUAAUUCUAUUUUUAUAUUUGCUAAUAUUCUAUGACUAUCUUAAGAAGUAUGUUAGUUGUAACGUCCAAUUAAUUAAUGGUUCCAAAAUUUAAGUAGAAUUAACUUUAGUAUCAAGACAAAGUAAAAUGUGUGAAAACAAGAGAGGCCAGAAGAGAAACAGAAUACAGGUUAAAUUUUAGGAAUGUUAAAAUAAACAUUUAUUUAUGUAAAUUUAUUGAAAUAUAAUUUAAUAUAGCAUCUUUAUUAUCUCGUAAAUGCCUCGUAAAAAAAUAAAAUAACAUUAUUGUACAUAACUAAUCAAAAAUUUUUAAGAUGUAAAUGUAACAUUAUCAUCUAAAAUAAAUAUUAUUCAUAACAAGAAGAGAAACGUUAUCAUUUCGUGUAUUUUAGAAAUCUAAAAGUUUAUACAUAUAACAGAAUAUGAAAAAUAAAGAUUAUUGCAAGUAUGAAUAAAUAAGUUCAAAAUAUGGAAAAUUUAUGAGACUUGAGUAUGUCUUUCUUUUAUAAAAAAUAUAAAGUGUUAUAAUAUAUAAACGUUAUAAUAUAACAAAAGCUAGUUUGGGAUUGACCUGUUUCGCGAGCUUUGAGUUUUCAAACGAAGAGCUCAAUCCUGAAAAAGGUUUCAGGUGGUUUUGGAUGGCAGUUUCCUUGCGAAGUGUAAGAUAUAUUCCGAAUUGCACGUGAGCGCGAAUCUCGUCCAAGAGUGGUGAACAAGAGGGUGGAGGAAUAAGGGCUCCUCCGUGAUAGCGUUGCAAGUCGGAAAAGUAAGUUUGCGCGGCACGGCGCGUCGCGUCGCGUCGCGGCGGACGACCAUGAUCUGAGAGAAGAUAUCGUUGGAAUUAUGAUUCCCCGGAGAUACGACUCGGCCUCUCCAGAAACGGAGAUGACGGCGGGAGAUGGUGUAACUUUGCGACAUCGGGGGCUUCAGUAUUUUCCUGACUAAAUAAUUCGCUCGACUACCGAUAACGGAUUCCGGACAGAUCACGGUAUAUAUAUAUGUAUGUCGCAAACUGCUUCUCGGCAAUUACGAGUGGCAUAUAUCGGCCGCCAACUCUCGCACAUUCCUAUUCUCUAAAUUAUAUCUGAGCGAGAUAUGCUCUAUGUUUCUCGCGUGACGAAUUUUUUCUCCGUUACAAAUUCUUUGGUGGUGAUAUUCGCACGACGAAAAUGUUUCAGCUUUCUUGCGUCUACAAAAAGAGAGCUGCGAAUUGAAAUCCUGCAAAUUAAAAUAAAAAUGCUCUUAAAAAGAUUUAUUAAAGUUGUUAAAAGUAUAAAAUUUUCAUUGAACGUACGAUUGUUUUUUUUUUAUAAAUUGUACCCAGAGUGUAAAAAAAUGCGAAAAGACAUUUUUGUAAUUCCUCUUCAAUCAUCAAAAAUCACUCGCAAUUUAAUAGUUCUUACAAUCGUUGCCAUCACGAGAAGAUGCACAAUACUUGGACACCAUGUAUACGGCCCCUGUGAAUCAUAUCUCUCUUUCCUUCUAAUCGGGCCGAAGAUAACGCCUCCGUUUUCCGUCCAUUACGGCGUGUCCCGAUUGUAAUGGCUUCUCGGGACACUCAGAUCGCCGUAAUUUGAUCUCCGUUUUAAGAUAAGAAGCGUAUUAACUGCGCGACGGCGUAAACCGCCGUCCCAUCUCUUGUGCGCGCGAACACUUUUCGUUGUAAGCACGUGGUUGUACAGGAGAUGGUAGGACAAGUAGGACAACGCGAUUC